GACGAACGCUGGCGGCGUGCUUAACACAUGCAAGUCGAACGGUGAAGCGCCUUCCUUUUUGGUGGGUGUGGAUGAGUGGCGAACGGGUGAGUAACACGUGAGUAACCUGCCCCCUUCUUCUGGAUAACCGCAUGAAAGUGUGGCUAAUACGGGAUAUUCUGGGUCUGUCGCAUGAUGGGUCUGGGAAAGAUAUUGUUUCGGUGGGGGAUGGGCUCGCGGCCUAUCAGCUUGUUGGUGGGGUGAUGGCCUACCAAGGCGGUGACGGGUAGACGGCCUGAGAGGGUGGACGGUCACACUGGGACUGAGACACGGCCCAGACUCCUACGGGAGGCAGCAGUGGGGAAUAUUGCACAAUGGGCGCAAGCCUGAUGCAGCGACGCCGCGUGAGGGAUGGAGGCCUUCGGGUUGUGAACCUCUUUCGCCAGUGAAGCAGGCCUGCCUCGUUUGUGGGUGGGUUGACGGUAGCUGGAUAAGAAGCGCCGGCUAACUACGUG
rnacentral:rRNA from 1 species